GACCAGCUAGGGAGGGAGCGGCUCAGCAACGCAGACAGGAAAUAAUCACUGUUAUUAUCUGCAGUCCUCCAGAGGAGCUCACAGCAGUUCCAUGUCACCAAACAGAACAUGAGCUGUGGUCAGACCUUCCAAGAAAACAGCAGAAACGAGGAACGGCAGCCAAGUUUCCCGUGCAGGCCAGUUCCAGUUGGCAAGAUGCUGAAGUACCCCCCCCCCCAAUGUAUUGGGGAGAAGGCUCCACGUGGCAGACAGUGAAGCAGAGGUCUCCUCUGCAGCUGCCCUCUCACAGGCUGCUGGGCCCCAACCCCGCAAGCAAAGCUGGCAGAAGAUGGCUGCCAACAAGCUUCACUGCAAAGAGAAUCGCCGUGAAGGCAUGUUUGGAGGCAGAGAAUAUUAUUCAAGGCAGUAAGAAUAUACAGAAGCUGGAGAGAUGGCUCAGCGGUUAAGAGCACUGACUACUCUUCCAAAGGUCCUGAGUUCAAAUCCCAGCAACUACAUGGUGGCUCACAAUCAUCUAUAAUGAGAUCUGAUGCCCUCUUCUGGGAUGUCUGAAGAAAGCU
rnacentral:lncRNA from 1 species